rnacentral:rRNA from 1 species
UACGGAGGGUGCAAGCGUUAUCCGGAUUCACUGGGUUUAAAGGGUGCGUAGGUGGGCAGGUAAGUCAGUGGUGAAAUCUCCGAGCUUAACUCGGAAACUGCCGUUGAUACUAUUUGUCUUGAAUAUUGUGGAGGUAAGCGGAAUAUGUCAUGUAGCGAUGAAAAUGCUUAGAUAUGACAUAGAACACCAAUUGCGAAGGCAGCUUACUACACAACGAUUGACGCUGAGGCACGAAAGCGUGGGGAUCAAACAGG